AUCGCUUCUCUGUUUUUUGGCUAAGAUCAAGUGUAGUGUCGGCUCUUAUCAGUUUAAUAUCUCUGCUCUGCGCACUCCAUUUUUUUUUUAACUGUAUGAAGUGCAACAGCACAAAUGAACAAGUGUUGCAACUCAAUACUGCAGUAUGCCCAUAUAAAUU